GUGGAUUAGAUACCCGGGUAGUCCACGCCCUAAACGAUGGAUACUCGACAUACGCGAUACACUGUGUGUGUCUGAGCGAAAGCAUUAAGUAUCCCACCUGGGAAGUACGUUCGCAAGAAUGAAACUCAAAGGAAUUGGCGGGGGUCCGCACAAGCGGUGGAGUAUGUGGUUUAAUUCGAUGAUACGCGAGGAACCUUACCUGGGCUAGAAUGCUGGGAGACCGCUAGUGAAAGCUAGUUUUGUAGCAAUACACUGCCAGUAAGGUGCUGCACGGCCGUCGACAACU
rnacentral:rRNA from 1 species